rnacentral:lncRNA from 1 species
AAAGCAUCUUUGUGGCAUUGUCGUCUUGGACAUGUCAACAAGAAACGCAUAGCCCAACUCCAAAAGGAUGGAGUGUUGGAGUCAUUCGACCUUAGGGAAGAUGACACAUGCGAGUCUUGUUUGCUUGGAAAGAUGACUAAGUCGCCCUUCACGAGUACUUGUGAAAGGGGCGAGGGUCUAUUGGACCUAAUACAUACCGAUGUAUGUGGACCGUUUAGAUCAACCACGAAGGAUGGGAACCGCUUCUAUGUGACUUUUACCGAUGACUAUAGUAGAUAUGGGUAUAUCUACUUAAUCAAGCAAAAGUCUGAAACGUUUGAAAAGUUCAAAGAGUUCAAGAAUGAAGUGGAGAAUCAAUUGGGCAGGAAAAUCAAGAUGCUUCGAUCCGAUCGAGGAGGAGAGUACCUAAGUCUUGAAUUCCACGACUAUCUCAAGGAAUGUGGAAUAGUUUCACAAUUGACGCCACCUAGGACACCACAGUUAAAUGGUGUGGCAGAAAGGCGCAAUCGAACCCUGUUGGACAUGGUUCGUUCUAUGAUGAUUUGUGCUUCACUACCUAUCUCAUUUUGGGGGUAUGACUUAGAGACUGUCACCCAUAUCCUUAACCGAGUCCCUACAAAGAAGGUUGUCAAAAUACCUCACGGGAUGUGGACAGGGAAAUCUCCCUCGUUGGCACACAUCAAGGUCUGGGGUUGUGAAGUUUUCGUAAGACGAGAAACUCAUGACAAGCUCAAACCUCGUAAUGAGCGAUGUAUUUUCAUCGGCUACCCGCAGAAAUCCUUUGGAUAUCUCUUCUAUAGACCGAAGGACAAUGUUGUCUUUGUUGCGAGGAGAGGAGUUUUCCGAGAGCGAGAACUCAUAAGCCAAGGAGACAGUGGGAGGCAAAUCGAGCUUGAAGAGAUUCAAGAGUCGAUAGAUGAAGGAACCUCUACCGCUGGCGCUCAACCAGAGGAGGAAACUCCGGUUGAACCAAUUGACGAGUCAUUACCUCUUAGACGUUUCGAAAGAGUUAGAGUUCAACCCCAGUUGUAUGGUUUUCAUAUUACUACCGAAGGGGACACGUAUAUUAGUGAUGGUACACUAAUAAAUCUUGAUGAACCUAAUAGCUAUAAGGAAGCCAUGGCAGGCCCGGAGUCUGCAAAAUGGAAAGAGGCAAUGGAUAGCGAGAUCCAAUCCAUGUAUGAUAACCAAGUUUGGAAUUUGGUUGAUUAUGUGCCCGGACGUAAGACCGUUGGGUGCAAAUGGAUCUUCAAGAAGAAGACCGACGUGGAUGGAAACGUACACACAUAUAAAGCGCGAUUGGUUGCGAAGGGCUUUACUCAAACUCCCGGAGUUGACUAUGAUGAGACCUUCUCACCAGUUGCGAAGAUUAAAUCUAUUAGAGUGAUGCUAGCAAUUGCCGCAUUUCAUGAUUAUGAGAUUUGGCAAAUGGAUGUCAAGACCGCUUUCCUUAACGGAAAGUUGGCUGAGGAUGUUUACAUGGCUCAGCCAGAGGGGUUUGUGGAUCCGAAGCAUCCGAAUAGAGUGUGUAAGCUUGAGAAGUCCAUUUAUGGACUUAAGCAAGCGUCUCGCAGAUGGAAUCUUUGCUUCGAUGAGAAAGUCAAAGAGUUUGGAUUUGUACGAAGCGAAGACGAAUCUUGUGUAUAUGUCAAAGCCAGUGGGAGUAUAGUAAGCUUCCUCGUUCUAUAUGUCGAUGACAUAUUACUCAUAGGAAACGACAUCCCGACUCUGCAGGAGGUUAAGUCCUGGCUCGGGAAGUGCUUCGCUAUGAAGGACCUCGGAGAGGCUUCUUACAUUUUGGGAAUAAGGAUAGUAAGAGAAAGAAGUAAGAGACUAAUUGGACUUAGUCAGAAUACUUACUUAGAGAAGGUACUAAAACGUUUUAGUAUGGAAAACUCAAAGAAGGGAGAACUACCGAUACAAAGUAAUGCCAAAUUGAGUAAGACUCAAAGUCCGAGUACCGAAGCUGAGAUAGCAGAAAUGAGCCGAGUACCAUACGCUUCCGCAGUUGGCUCAAUCAUGUACGCUAUGACUUGUACUCGCCCUGAUGUAGCCUUCGCUUUGAGCAUGGUUAGCAGAUAUCAAGGGAAUCCUGGCAAAGCACAUUGGAUUGCGGUGAAGAAUAUCCUUAAGUACCUUCGGAGGACGAAGGAAUGGUUCUUAGUCCUCGGAGGGAGUGAUGACUUGAAGGUGCGAGGGUAUAGUGACGCCAGUUUUCAGACCGACAGGGACAACUACCGUUCGCAGUCGGGCUGGGUCUUUACCCUAAAUGGAGGAGCAGUGACAUGGAAGAGUUCCAAGCAGGAAACCGUAGCUGAUUCAACGUGCGAAUCAGAGUACAUUGCAGCGAGCGAAGCGUCGAAGGAGGCAAUAUGGCUAAAGAACUUCAUCGGUGAUCUUGGAGUCGUACCUGCCAUAAAGGAGCCAAUGGAGAUUUUCUGUGAUAACGAAGGUGCGGUUGCCUUAACCAAGGAACCGAGGGAUCAUGGUAGAUCAAGACAUAUCGACAGAAAGUAUCACUUCAUUAGACAUCGUGUAGAAGAAGGACAACUCGUAGUGAAGAGGAUAUCAUCAGAAGAUAACCCAGCAGAUCCGCUUACGAAGGGACUGAGUAGGGUUAAGCACUUGCAGCAUGCUAGGAGUAUUGGGCUGAAGGAUGAUAUUAGCAUAGAUUAGAUAGUAUUAGAAACGUGUAAUAGAUAAAUGUAAUUGACAUUUGAUGAUUAAAUAAAGGAGUUUUAUUUAUGAGUAAUGUUACUAUCUUAUGUUAAUUGUUUAGCUAUUGUUUCACUUUGCAUGUUUUGACUUCCAGAAUAAUUGAGUUUAUUAGGAAUAAUCGAAUUAUUCAAAUGGUCCACAAUCGUUCAUAUGUUGGGAGUAGAUAUGAAAGAAGAUUGUCAUGAAUUGGUGUGUAGAAUGUCUAAAUGGUGUUAGACAUAGCAAAGGAUUGCUGCAACGUUCAUGAGUGCUUAUGAACUAGUUUUGAGCAUUGGAAUAAACCCGCGCUUGCUGGAAUCACCUUAUGGAAUACGAUAUAAAAGGUGAUCGCAAGACGAUAAUAUCAUAUAGUCUUAAAACCUAGAUAUAUGGUUUAUUAUUUGUUAAUUGAUUGUACAUUGAUAAUACGAAAACGCAUCAGUAACUUGGUGUUAUAAAACGUAUUGUUGUGUAUAGUUGGUUAAUGAAUAAGUAAAUGCAUAUAAGUCGAAGUUUAUCUGUAACUUUUAUCUAAGAAGGUAAAAGCGAUAUCUCGGCCGCUCGAUGAUUUGAUUUGACUUAUGUGCCGGGCCCGGUCAGAACUGAAUUGAUGUGUUCGAUUAAGUUCUAUGUCAAAUAAAUCAGAGAUCGAGAAACCUAAAUGCUUGACUAACCAUUCCAUAGGAUUGUCAGCAUGAUAUCUAACAGAGGACUGUACGUUCCCUUAUCUAAAGGACAAGAUUGAUUAGAUCAGAGUUGACAGCGUCUUUGAGAGCUACGAUUGCAAACCGAAUUGUACUUGUAUAGUUACUAGACUUAUCCAAGUGGGAGACUGUUGGAAUAGUGUCUAAGGCUGUAACUAUAUCCGGUUGUGCAUGGUCCUUUUGGGUUGCCUUCACCAUAGCAACUUGAUAGGAUGAUUUAUUAAGAGAGAAUAAAUAUUAUUAAUAUAUUAUGGGAAUAAUAUAAUGAAUAAUAUAUUUGUUAUUUGAUUAAUAUAAGUCAUAGAAUUAAUUAGAAUUAAUUUGGUGACUUAAAGAGAUUAAUUAAAUAAAGGGGUAUAAACUGUCAAUUGUUUGAUAGUUAAGCUUUAAACUGUAAAUCCAUUUGGAUAUACUAUGGACGAAUUCUAAGAGGAUUAGGAUAGCUAAAAUCGUCCAUUAGAGUUAUCUAGGAAUGGAUUUGGAUAGCCUUAAGAGAAGAUUAUCUGAUAGGGACUUAUCUGUAAUCCUUAAGGAGUCUACAAGUAUAAAUAGACCCCAUGGCUGAUGGAAUUCGACACUUGACCUAAAGUAAGGAACCUCUGGUCGAAAUUCCUCCCCUCUCCUCUCUCCCAAAUCAUCCUCCUUGCUUUGGUGUUUGUAAGCCAUUAGAGGAGUGACAUUUGUGACUCUAGAAGCUCCAAGACCUCAAGAUCAACAAGGAACUCAAAGGUAUGAUUCUAGAUCUGUUUUAAUGUUCUUGUUUAACCUAAUUAGUAAUUAGAAGUCUUGGAUUCAAAGCAUGUUUAUUAGAAAGCCUAGAUCCAAGCAUUAGGGUUUUGCAUGCGCACAUAGGAAAGUUCUUAUGGCUAAAACCCAUCAGUGGUAUCAGAGCCUAGCUUGGUUUUCUGUAAAUUGUUGCUUGAUUAACUGAAACAAACCUGCAAAAUUCGAAUUUUUGGUUUCUGAGUCAUGGACUCGGCGAGUCUCAAAGUGGACUCGGCGAGUAGGCCUGACUCGGCGAGUCCAUUUGUGCACUCGGCGAGUCCAGGCGUCAGGAAUGGCCAGAUUCGGGAUUUCUUUGUGUUUAUCUUAUCUUAACUUACCAUAAACUAAUUAGAUCAACAUUAAUUCGUUUUUCUGAUAAAUAUAACUAUUAUCUUGAUCUAGUUAAAGGUAAUUAUCAACUAAUUAAAUAUUUAAUUUCCUUAUAUGAUAAUUAAUUAAUUAUUUUGAUUAUUUUGGUAAUUAUCUUUAAAAGAAAUCUUGAAUAAAUCAAAUAUAGAUAAUUAGGAUAUUAAUUGUUAAUUGGAAUUAUUUGUUAUUUGAUCCUCCAUGUUUUAAAUGUUUAAAACCUACCCUCAUGUUUUGAAAUUUACUUUUGUGAUUAAAAGUUUUAAUUUAGACAACUUAAAUUUCAAACCCUAGAUUUUAAAAGUUUUAAAAUACAACCCUAUACUAAUAUGAUAUUACUAGAAUAAUAUAUAUAUGUAUAACUAAAUGCUAGUCUUACCGUUAGUAGGCCUCAUUCACGAAGCCGAUCUAUAAGGUGGGUAUAAGGUUGCGGCCUAUAAAAUGGCGCUUAAUGGGUGUACACUCACACCCACCGCUUGCUUGAUUGGUGGAGGGUCGUUAGCCGAACGGGUAGGAUAGGGCAACCUCAUCCUCUCAUUAAAAGUAUAAUAAGAAAUAUAAAGUAACUACACAUUUUUUUAAAAUUUCCCAAUCCUAGUUACUUUAGGAAAAGUGAAUUGAUGCAAUCCCAUGAAAUUACACUUUGCACCUUGCUAAGAUGUUAGUGGAGCGUGUGUGGUUUACCGGCACACUAAUUGGUUCUAAGCGAAGGUGGCAAAGGGUGAUUCAUUGUUUAUCAUAGUUCGAUGGAGCGUGUGUGGUUUACCGGCACAUCGAAUAGGUGAUUGUUACAAUGAAGGCACCAUGUGAAUUUGCAUGGUAAUUCACACCCGCUUUGUGAUCCUCGGCAUCCCAGUCACAAACAAGAGGGGCAUAUCGAGAUUUAAACAUGCCAUUGAAUAGUUUCAAUGAAUCUCAUCCGAACCUAGGAAUUCUCAAAAACACUUAGGACUAAUAGUUUAAGUUUUGUGAUGGAGAAUUAGUGAAUCGUCAUUCACUUACCUUCAAUUUAUUUGCAUGUUAGAUUACGGCAUCCCUUUUCUAGUAUGUAAAUGUUAUUGUUGGAUCCUAGCCCUAAUUUUCUUAUUGGGUGAUAAUUAGGGAUUCUUAUUCUAAUCUAUCUUUGUCCUUUUCUAAUUGUAGAUGUCGAACGCAAACAACGCUGCUGCUAGUUCUUUCACGUUGAUGAGCCUUUGCCAAAAGGUCACCUUCGAUGGAACGAACUUUAGCGAAUGGAUAAGAUACAUUCGCACCAUUGCUCGCUAUGAGGAUAAGGAGUAUGUCCUCGAUGAGAAGCUCGAGAAAAUCAACCCCGAAAUUGCUACUCCCGCCGAAAUCACCGCCUUUGAAACUCAUGAGCGAGAUGCAACGAAGGUACAUUGCAUCAUGAUCGCCACCAUGAACUCCGAAUUCCAAAAGUCCUACGAGGACAUGUACCCGUACGAGAUGCAUCAAGACUUAUUGGAGAGGUACCACCAAAACGCGAGACAAGAGAGGUACGAGAUUUUCACUAACAUGAUUUCCGCGAAGAUGGGUCAUGGAGAAUCUCUUACCGUGCACUUGCAAAAGAUGCAAAGGUAUGUUGACCGCCUCCGCAAGUUAAAUGUUGACUUCGGUGAAGACUUGGCGAUCGACAUGGUGCUUCACUCUUUGCCUCCGAUGUACAACCAAUUUAGGAUGACCUACCACAUGAACAAAGAAGAGGUCACCCUAAGCAAGCUCCAAGGUCUCUUGAGGGUUGCUGAGAGCAACUUCAAAGACAAGUCUGUUGCACCUACUCCCAAUCCGCCCGCUGCUCCUGUCUUGGCUAUUGGACAAGGGAAGGGAAAGAAGAGGAAAGCUUCAUCGAAGAACUAUCGCAAGGUGAAAGCCCGAGAUGGUGCCUCUUCUAGUGGGACCAAAGUUGAUCCCGCCAAGCCCUGCUCUAACCCGAAGGAGGCAGAGUGCCACCACUGCCACAAGAUAGGACAUUGGAAGAGAAGCUGCCCGGAUUACCUGCAAGCAAUCAAAGAAGGAAAGAUCAAGCCAUCUUUCGCAGGUAUAUAUACAAUCAAAUCUAACGAUUCUAAUCAUGCUAUUUCUUGGGUUCUUGAUACCGGUUGUGGUUAUCACAUUUGUUCUAAUGUGCAGGGACUAAGAAGAAGUAGGGAUGUGGAGCAAGGAAGGAUCAAUCUAAUCAUGGGGAACAGAAGAUCGUCGCCUGUGACCAAGAUUGGAGUGUAUUCCUUAGUGCUUAGGAAUAGUUUAGUUUUAGAUUUGAACAAUUGUUGCUAUUCGCCAGAAAUGGCAAGAAACAUCAUUUCAUUUCAUGGUUUAUAUAGACAAGGAUUUAGAUUUUCUUUUAAUAAUGAGAAUGGUUCUAUUUUGGCUUAUCUAAAUGGUGUCUUUUACUUUGAAGCUAUACCAUGUAAUGGAAUAUAUGAAACCGUUAUGAUUGUUGAUAACUUAGGAAAUGAUGUUUUGAAUAUUGAUUCUUCCACUAGUAUGGAUAAAGCAUCCUUGUGGCAUUGUCGUCUUGGACAUGUCAACAAGAAACGCAUAGCCCAACUCCAAAAGGAUGGAGUGUUGGAGUCAUUCGACCUUAGGGAAGAUGACACAUGCGAGUCUUGUUUGCUUGGAAAGAUGACUAAGUCACCCUUCACGAGUACAUGUGAAAGGGGCGAGGGUCUAUUGGACCUAAUACAUACCGAUGUAUGUGGACCGUUUAGAUCAACCACGAAGGAUGGGAACCGCUUCUAUGUGACUUUUACCGAUGACUAUAGUAGAUAUGGGUAUAUCUACUUAAUCAAGCAAAAGUCAGAAACCUUUGAAAAGUUCAAAGAGUUCAAGAAUGAAGUGGAGAAUCAAUUGGGCAGGAAAAUCAAGAUGCUUCGAUCCGAUCGAGGAGGAGAGUACCUAAGUCUUGAAUUCCACGAUUAUCUCAAGGAGUGUGGAAUAGUUUCGCAAUUGACGCCUCCUAGGACACCGCAGUUGAAUGGUGUGGCAGAAAGGCGUAAUCGAACCUUAUUGGAUAUGGUUCGCUCUAUGAUGAGUCGUGCUUCACUACCAAUCUCUUUUUGGGGGUAUGCCUUAGAGACUGCCGCCCAUAUCCUUAACCGAGUCCCUACUAAGAAGGUUGCCAAAACACCUCACGAGAUGUGGACAGGGAAAGCUCCCUCGUUGGCACAUAUCAAGGUUUGGGGUUGCGAGGCUUUCGUAAGACGAGAUACUCACGACAAGCUUGAACCUCGAAGUGAGCGAUGUAUUUUCAUCGGUUACCCGCAGAAAUCCUUUGGAUAUCUCUUCUAUAGACCGAAGGACAAUGUUGUCUUUGUUGCGAGGAGAGGAGUUUUCCGAGAGCGAGAACUCAUAAGCCAAGGAGACAGUGGGAGGCAAAUCGAGCUUGAAGAGAUUCAAGA